rnacentral:rRNA from 1 species
UACGAAGGGGGCAAGCGUUGUUCGGAAUCACUGGGCGUAAAGCGCACGUAGGCGGCGGGUUAAGUCAGGUGUGAAAUCCUGGAGCUCAACUCCGGAACUGCAUUUGAUACUGGCGCACUCGAGUGUGGGAGAGGUUGGUGGAACUCCGGGUGUAGAGGUGAAAUUCGUAGAUAUUCGGAAGAACACCAGUGGCGAAGGCGGCCAACUGGCCCAUUACUGACGCUGAGGUGCGAAAGCGUGGGGAGCAAACAGG